rnacentral:rRNA from 1 species
UACAGAGGGUGCGAGCGUUAAUCGGAAUUACUGGGCGUAAAGCGCGCGUAGGCGGCUUUGCAAGUCGGGUGUGAAAUCCCCAGGCUCAACCUGGGAACUGCAUUCGAGACUGCAUUGCUAGAGUAUGGGAGAGGGAAGUGGAAUUUCCGGUGUAGCGGUGAAAUGCGUAGAUAUCGGGAGGAACACCAGUGGCGAAGGCGACUUCCUGGCCUGUUCUUGACGCUGAGGCGCGAAAGCUAGGGUAGCAAACGGG